GCAGCCGCGGUAAUUCCAGCUCCAAUAGCGUAUAUUAAAGUUGUUGCAGUUAAAAAGCUCGUAGUUGAAUUUCGGGAUUCUACCGUUGGUCAGGCUAACAAGUCUGUACUGGUGUGUAGAAUUUCUACCUUCUGGGGAACUAUCAUGUUAUUAAUUUAGCGUGGUGGGAAACCAGGACCUUUACCUUGAAAAAAUUAGAGUGUUCAAAGCAGGCUUACGUCUGAAUACAUUAGCAUGGAAUAAUAGAAUAGGACGGUGGUCCUGUUUUGUUGGUUUCUGAAUCACCGUAAUGAUUAAUAGGGAUAGUUGGG
rnacentral:rRNA from 1 species